rnacentral:rRNA from 1 species
CCCCAGACUCCUACGGGAGGCAGCAGUGGGGAAUAUUGCACAAUGGGGGAAACCCUGAUGCAGCGACGCCGCGUGAGCGAUGAAGUAUUUCGGUAUGUAAAGCUCUCUCAGCAGGGAAGAAAAUGACGGUACCUGACUAAGAAGCCCCGGCUAACUACGUGCCAGCAGCCGCGGUAAUACGUAGGGGGCAAGCGUUAUCCGGAUUUACUGGGUGUAAAGGGAGCGUAGACGGUCCUGCAAGCCAGAUGUGAAAGCCCGGGGCUCAACCCCGGGACUGCAUUUGGAACUGUAAGGCUAGAGUGUCGGAGAGGCAGGCGGAAUUCCUAGUGUAGCGGUGAAAUGCGUAGAUAUCAGGAGGAACACCGGUGGCGAAGGCGGCCUGCUGGACGGAUACUGACGCUGAGGCCCGAAAGCGUGGGGAGCGAACAGGAUUAGAUACCCUCGUAA